AGGCUGUGAGGAUGACAAUUGUAGAAUGAUUGUCUGUGAAUUAUUUAAUACGCUAUUCUGAGCCUUUG